rnacentral:rRNA from 1 species
AUUGAACGCUGGCGGCAGGCCUAACACAUGCAAGUCGAACGGUAACAGGGAUCAGCUUGCUGAUUCGCUGACGAGUGGCGGACGGGUGAGUAAUGUCUGGGAAACUGCCUGAUGGAGGGGGAUAACUACUGGAAACGGUAGCUAAUACCGCAUAACGUCGCAAGACCAAAGAGGGGGACCUUCGGGCCUCUUGCCAUCGGAUGUGCCCAGAUGGGAUUAACUAGUAGGUGGGGUAACGGCUCACCUAGGCGACGAUCCCUAGCUGGUCUGAGAGGAUGACCAGCCACACUGGAACUGAGACACGGUCCAGACUCCUACGGGAGGCAGCAGUGGGGAAUAUUGCACAAUGGGCGCAAGCCUGAUGCAGCCAUGCCGCGUGUAUGAAGAAGGCCUUCGGGUUGUAAAGUACUUUCAGCGGGGAGGAAGGGAGUAAAGUUAAUACCUUUGCUCAUUGACGUUACCCGCAGAAGAAGCACCGGCUAACUCCGUG